rnacentral:rRNA from 1 species
UAAGGAAUAUCGGUCAAUGGAGGCAACUCUGAACCAGCCAUGCCGCGUGGAGGAUGAAGGCCCUCUGGGUUGUAAACUUCUUUUAUAAGGGAAGAAAUGCAGACAUUCUUGUUUGUUUGACGGUACCUUAGGAAUAAGCACCGGCUAACUCCGUGCCAGCAGCCGCGGUAAUACGGAGGGUGCAAGCGUUAUCCGGAUUCACUGGGUUUAAAGGGUGCGUAGGCGGGCAGGUAAGUCAGUGGUGAAAUCUUCGAGCUUAACUCGGAAACUGCCGUUGAUACUAUCUGUCUUGAAUACUCGGGAGGUGAGCGGAAUAUGUCAUGUAGCGGUGAAAUGCUUAGAUAUGACAUAGAACACCAAUUGCGAAGGCAGCUCACUACAGAGUCAUUGACGCUGAGGCACGAAAGCGUGGGGAUCAAACAG